UACGUAGGGGGCUAGCGUUGUCCGGAAUCAUUGGGCGUAAAGCGCGUGUAGGCGGUUCGGUAAGUCCGCUGUGAAAGUCGGGGGCUCAACCCUCGGAUGCCGGUGGAUACUGUCGGACUAGAGUACGGAAGAGGCGAGUGGAAUUCCUGGUGUAGCGGUGAAAUGCGCAGAUAUCAGGAGGAACACCAAUUGCGAAGGCAGCUCGCUGGGACGUUACUGAGCUGAGACGCGAAAGCGUGGGGAGCGAAACGGG
rnacentral:rRNA from 1 species